GUCCAGGGUAGCCUAGUGGACAUGGCAUCUGCCCGGUAAGCGGAACACUGUGGGUUCGAUUCCCAUAACUGAACA
rnacentral:tRNA from 1 species